UACGUAGGGUGCAAGCGUUAAUCGGAAUACUGGGCGUAAAGCGUGCGCAGGCGGUGAUGUAAGACAGAUGUGAAAUCCCCGGGCUCAACCUGGGAACUGCAUUUGUGACUGCAUCGCUGGAGUGCGGCAGAGGGGGAUGGAAUUCCGCGUGUAGCAGUGAAAUGCGUAGAUAUGCGGAGGAACACCGAUGGCGAAGGCAAUCCCCCUGGGCCUGCACUGACGCUCAUGCACGAAAGCGUGGGGAGCAAACAGG
rnacentral:rRNA from 1 species